UAAGACGGAGGGCGCAAACGUUGUUCGGAAUCACUGGGCGUAAAGGGCGCGUAGGCGGAUCGGUAAGUCAGGGGUGAAAGCCCGGGGCUCAACUCCGGGACUGCCCUUGAAACUGCCGUUCUAGAGUUCAGGAGAGGAAGGCGGAAUUCCAGGUGUAGCGGUGGAAUGCGUAGAUAUCUGGAAGAACACCAGUGGCGAAGGCGGCCUUCUGGACUGACACUGACGCUGAGGCGCGAAAGCUAGGGGAGCAAACAGGAUUAGAUACCCUGGUAGUCCUAGCCGUAAACGAUGGGUACUAGGUGCUGGGCGUUUCGACACGUUCAGCGCCGCAGCUAACGCAAUAAGUACCCCGCCUGGGGAGUACGGCCGCAAGGCUG
rnacentral:rRNA from 1 species